CUUCUACUAGGCUGCUGCUCCUUUUGUCCGACGUGAAAGUUAACAGUGUUGGAAAGCCAGAGCGCUUCCUUUUUAACACUCAGCGGAGAAACCCGAACGGGAACUGAAGCUUCCCAUUAUCUGGGACAUGGUGCAACACGUUGUUAACACGCAGCAGAGCCUUACUACCUAGAACGCAAGUUAUAUUCCGUUUCAUACUGCAAUAAAAACAGAAGUUCCUAAUACUACUCAGCAGAACACUAGCACGUGAUUCAGAACUUGACAGGCAAAUCCCAGUCAGCAGAGCGCUGGGCUUGGACAUACUCUGGAUUACUGAGGGCUGAAUCCUGCAAAGUACAGAGGCCUUGGAGCACUGAGCCUGCCAGCGUCCCAUAGCAGGAAACCCUCAAUACAUUUCACACAACUUAAUGGCAUAUUCAUUUUUGCUGAUGAGUAACAUCAUAACACCUGUAUCGCACGUGAUCUGAAAAGUGCUUUAACCGGAUGCAUUUUAUACCGGAUAUCUCUGCAUACCUAAAAGCAUCAGGGAAGGAGGCUACAGGCUCAAAGUGCGUUCCUCACCCUCCCACGCCGAAUCAUUGCAACUCCAAAGUUCCUGAAAAGAGUAAUACAACCUGCAGAUCAAGCGUUAGUGAUUUAACGUAAACAGAUCGAUACUGCUUCCCACACAUGCAAGAGCUGGGAAUGCAACGGAUGAUCUGCAGAGCUACAGUGGAGACAUUUUUAACCUACAGGAAGUCCUGCAAAAUUUUUCAAGAAGAUCCAAGUGGCUAGGACAGAAAAAACUGCCAGUGGUCUCUGACAUGAAGGUCAGAAAUAAAUGUCUCAGAUGUUUUCCCACCAGGCUGGAGUGAGAAAAUGAUUAUGCCAUUAAGCUUUACAUUACAGCCAAUCACAUUGUUUGUUGCCUGUCACAUAGGUUGCAAGAGACAUGAAUCUUUAGAAAACACUAUAUAUCUAAGGUGUAUAUCAUACAUAGCCAUAUCUUACACUGUCCCAUCUGUACACUGGGAGUUUUGUUUUCUAAGAUCUACUAACUAAAGAGCUACUUCUGUUAAGUACUACGGAUCAGGAACUAUUCUACCAUUUCAUAGACAUCUAUUUAAAAAACAGCUUAUUAGACAUCACUGCUUACAGAUGAGAUUAAGUUUCUUAUUAUUCAGAACAAAUGCACUUUUUAAAUGGGCAGAAACUGCUUUUCUUAGCAUAAUUAGACCAUAUACAAAGCAAAAACUGUUUUGUUAGAUUCUUCUACUUGGAAAAAGAACUCAUCAAAACACUUCUAAAACGCUAUUAACUCAGCAUCUAGAAUCUUCCAUAUUUGAUGCGUUAUUAUAGAUUGGCUGCAAAAUGAUAAAUAUUUAAAAUACCUUGUUAAAAGUUACCAUGCCAGAAAGUUUAAUUUUACCGUAAUUUACAGAAAUUCUUUACCCAUUUUUGCUUAGUCAGCUUGGGGAAGAAAGCUAACUAAUUUCUCAAAAACGCUUAAACAGCAGGCUAGCAUACCGCCAUGGUUAAUAAGAUUAUAAGGAAAUUCACACUGAUUUUACGUUACCUAAAAAUUCUCCUUAAAUUGUCAAAACAAAUUGCAUCUGCUGGUUUGUAGCUUGAGGAGAGUAUCAUCUAGAUAUUAAGUAUUCUCAUACAUGAACACACGUAUCUACAGACACUCUUUAUGCACGCACAUCUGCGGAGUGGAGCUCACUGAAAAACCUUGGGUUGCUGCCCUCAGAAUACCACUGGGGACUAUGCUCAUUUGUUACUUUGCAAAAAGUUAUAGAGUGAAACUCCUAGGUUUUCUUCUGCACACCUUACUUGAGAAAACAUGUAUGUAUAUAUAGCUUUGCAGAUUAUAUUACAGCAUGCUGUGAUAUAAAGGACUGGCCUAAAUUUAAGAUGGCUGCAUUAGACAAGUGCUUUUAUAUAUAGCUGGCUUUAAGCUAAUAUUGAGAACAGCAAAGGGAAAAGGUGACAAACAGCCUUCACACGACAAUUCUACACUAAACCUCCUUUGGCUCAAUAUUGCUUUUAUGUCUCAAGUUUCAAAUGUUAAUGUAAAGAUACUUGGGGGGUGGGGGAGAGAAAAAAAAAAACCCACAUUAUAGCCAGCAGGAUCAAAUUUAUUUUUUUCAUGAAAGGCUCCACAUGCUCAUCUAAAAGAAAACUUCCUUCACAGCAUGAAAUUAAAAAAGGAAAAUAAACUGCUCUUCAAAAUUUGGUCCUUCCAGAUAAAUACCUAUUGUGACUGACCCGCAGUCACCAGCACAAAGGCCAGCCUGGUGUUAAAGGUUCCACUAAAAAAUGCUUGCAAAAGAGCUUAAGUUACUUGUCUUGUUAUUAACAGCCUACCUCUAACCAUAAUCAGUGUAUGAACAACAGGAUCUUACAAGUAAUGGGCUCACAAACUGCAGGAUGAUUCAGUAAGUUACUGUCCAAUUUCCCUUUCAAACAGACUGAGAAAAAGCAAGCUGGACCACCUUGCCAGAGGCAUGUUCUUGAUGGUAACAGGGAGACUGCUGAUGGUAGGGGAUGCUCGUUAGCAAAGCUGCUCUGAUCAUCCUGUCAUCCAGGGCCUGCAACCCAUACAGUUACACUCUGCUGACUUCAUGUAUGAGCCACAGACCAACUUGCUAGCAGGCACUGCUUUUCUUAAGCAUUUUCUUCAACUGCUGAGGUAUAUGUACUGUAUGUAGAACAACAACCCUUAUACAUUUCCCCAGCUACCACAGUCUAAAGCUACAUUAGAGUGGUCAAUUCAUCCAAACUAUUAAAUAUCUAUCAAAAUGCAUAUAAGUCAUUCUGUUAAAGUAAAAAAAAAAAAAAAAAAAAACUUGCACUAUAAA